GUGGGGAAUAUUGGACAAUGGGGGCAACCCUGAUCCAGCCACGCCGCGUGAGUGAUGAAGGCCUUCGGGUCGUAAAGCUCUGUGGGGAGGGACGAACGUCCGGAUGAAGAAUCCGGGGUGACGGUACCUCCUUAGCAAGCACCGGCUAACUUCGUGCCAGCAGCCGCGGUAAUACGAAGGGUGCAAACGUUGCUCGGAAUCAUUGGGCGUAAAGCGCACGUAGGCGGCCUCAUAAGUCGGAUGUGAAAUCCCUCGGCUCAACCGAGGAAGUGCAUCCGAAACUGCGAGGCUCGAGUAUGGAAGAGGGUCGCAGAAUUCCCGGUGUAGAGGUGAAAUUCGUAGAUAUCGGGAGGAAUACCAGUGGCGAAGGCGGCGACCUGGGCCAAUACUGACGCUGAGGUGCGAAAGCGUGGGGAGCAAACAGGAUUAGAAACCCGGGUAGUCC
rnacentral:rRNA from 1 species